UACGUAGGGGGCAAGCGUUGUCCGGAUUUAUUGGGCGUAAAGAGCGUGUAGGCGGCUUUACAGGUCCGUUGUGAAAACUCGAGGCUCAACCUCGAGACGCCGGUGGAAACCGUAAAGCUAGAGUCCGGAAGAGGAGAGUGGAAUUCCUGGUGUAGCGGUGAAAUGCGCGGAUAUCAGGAGGAACACCGGUGGCGAAGGCGGGUCUCUGGGCAACUACUGACGCUGAGGAGCGAAAGCGUGGGGAGCGAACAGG
rnacentral:rRNA from 1 species